ACAAGCGGCGGAGUAUGUGGUUUAAUUCGAUGCAACGCGAAGAACCUUACCUGGUCUUGACAUCCCGGAGACCCUUAGGAAACUAGGGGUGCUUCCAUCUGGAAGAAUCUGGAGACAGGUGCUGCAUGGCUGUCGUCAGCUCGUGUCGUGAGAUGUUGGGUUAAGUCCCGCAACGAGCGCAACCCUUGCCUUUAGUUGCCAGCAGUUCGGCUGGGCACUCUAAAGGGACUGCCGGUGUUAAACCGGAGGAAGGUGGGGAUGACGUCAAGUCCUCAUGGCCUUUAUGACCAGGGCUACACACGUACUACAAUGGCCGAUACAAAGGGCAGCGACACUGCGAGGUGAAGCCAAUCCCGUAAAAUCGGUCUCAGUCCGGAUUGGAGUCUGCAACUCGACUCCAUGAAGUUGGAAUCGCUAGUAAUCGUGGAUCAGCAUGCCACGGUGAAUACGUUCCCGGGCCUU
rnacentral:rRNA from 1 species